rnacentral:rRNA from 1 species
CACUAAGCGGAGGAAAAGAAACUAACCAGGAUUCCCCUAGUAACGGCGAGUGAAGAGGGAAUAGCCCAGCACCGAAGCCUGCGGUGGUUUUGCUGUUAGGCAAUGUGGUGUUUGGGUCGGCUCGUGGGAUUGCCACUCCAUUCGAAGUCCAGCAUUGAGUAUGGUUCCCUGGAAUUGGCCCAGAGAGGGUGAAAGGCCCGUACGAAUGGAGGUUCAGAUAAGUAAGGCAAUUCACUAGGCCGGCCUUCGAGUCGGGUUGUUUGGGAAUGCAGCCCAAAGUGGGUGGUAAACUCCAUCCAAGGCUAAAUACAAGCACGAAUCCGAUAGCGAACAAGUACCGUGAGGGAAAGUUGAAAAGUACUUUGAAAAGAGAGUAAACAGUACGUGAAACCGCAUAGAGGUAAACGGGUGGCGUCAAGCUGUUAGCCCGGAGGAUUCAGUCGGCAAGGGUGUUGUGUGUGCGCCUGGCGCAUCUAUCAGUCGGAGUAAGUAUCAGUAGUCCACUGGAAGACGGUGGGUCCGGCUUCGGUCGGGAUAUGCGUGCCGGGUGGAUGCCGGAGCAUGCUACUGGUCUAUUGGACUGCCUUGCUGGUGCACUUCCUUCGUGGUGAACACCACGACCGAUGGUAUUGCCAGUCUGCUGUAGACAAGUCGUGCGUGAUCAGUUCUUGCAAUUGAUUGUGUGUGAUCACAGGCAAACUCGGUGGCCGGCGUAGGUCUGCUUCGGUAGAUUUGCGUGUUAUCGUUCAUCGGUUGUCAACGGGCUAGAUAGUGGUUGUUGUAUCCGCCAUUGUUUGGUCCGGUGGUCUACGGUGGUAAGAAUAACUGUGCAAGGCAUCGGAGUUUUCGGUCUCAAAUGCGGACUACAUCCAUGAUACAAGUGGCGUGUACGGGGCAGCGUUGCAGCCUGCCUGUCCUGGGUCUGAUUGUCGUGUUGCCUGCAAAAGUAGGCCCGGCAGUGGCUCGGGGCAGGAUGGAGUUGUUGGCGUUGUUCUGUGUGUAGUUUGUGGUGGACCAAAGAGUCAGUGGUGUAGUGGUAGACGAGCUACCCGACCCGUCUUGAAACACGGACCAAGGAGUUUAACAUGUAUGCAAGUCAAUGGGUCCUACGAAACCCAAAGGCGCAGUGAAAGUGAAGCUCCGACUUGUCUCGGGGUGAGGUGAGAUCCUGUCGUUACUCGCACAUGCCAGCACUAGGCAUAGAGCGGUGGGCGCAUCACCGGCCCGUCCCAUGAUGUGGUCAUUGGAUUUCUGCAGUAGUUGCCUGCAGUUGCUGUAGUGCCAGUGCAUCAUCGGGGCGGUGCAUGAGCAUACAUGUUGAGACCCGAAAGAUGGUGAACUAUGCUUGCGUAGGUUGAAGCCAGAGGAAACUCUGGUGGAGGACCGCAGCGAUUCUGACGUGCAAAUCGAUCGUCAAACGUGAGUAUAGGGGCGAAAGACUAAUCGAACCAUCUAGUAGCUGGUUCCCUC